CGCUGAUGCUUCACUGGUCUGGCGUUAUUGCGAGCGCGCCAUGGCUAUGCUACAGUGGCGACGAGGAUGGACAUCGCCCAUGCAGUGAAAGUCGACGCUGAACCGGAACCCACGCAGAACCGAGAAACCAAGGUCAUCAUGGCUCACCAACUUCCCGACUUCGAAGAAGGCAAAGAUAAGUGGAAGCCGUACCUUAUAAAAGUAGAAUCAUACUUUGAAGCGAAUGCGAUUGAAGACUCGACUAAGAAAAGAGCAUUGCUUGUUGCUGCGUUAAAUACGCAUACGAUCCAAGUGCUGGCAGGGAAGGUGGCUCCACGCAAGCCAAAUGCAUUGACGUAUGAAGAAGUCGUCGAAGUUUUGAGUGAGCACUACAGUCCCAAGAGACACGAAAUCACCGAAAGCUACAAGUUUUUCAGUCGUUGUCAAGCGGAGGGCGAGCCUGUUAAUGAAUUCCUGGUAGACAUUCGCCGAAUAGCUGACAAUUGCAAUUUUGGCAGUGCUUUGGAUCGCAUGCUUCGAGAUCGCAUUGUUUGUGGAAUACGGUCAGGUGCCCUGCAGAAGCAGCUACUGGCACAGCGGGAAUUAACGCUACAAGACGCUGAAGCGAUGGCCCUUGCAGCUGAGGCUGCAGAUAGUGAUGUAAAAGAGAUGAUCGGACCGGCAACGACACCCGUGCUAAAAGUACAGGCGUAUCUGAGAGAAACUCUAGUGGAUGAGAGGAGGGCUGCCGCACGUCAAGAAUGCGCAAGGUGCGGUAGUACAAAACAUAAUGACGCGUGUUGCCCCUGGUCUAACGCUCGCUGUUACCGCUGUGGACGACGUGGUCACCUUGCAAGGAAAUGUCGAAGUCGCGGGGCUCGAGAACAAGGCACUGCAAGGACAGCCCAAACUAACACCCUCUUGGGGACGGAAGCCUCAGCCGACGAGGAAUCCGAAGCCGCCCACAUUUGGACUUUGGUAUCCCAACGAAAAAGCUGUCUGGAACCGCCGAUCCGCCGAACGUUUGCUUGGUGCGGUGUGCAGCUCAGCAUGGAAGUUGAUACCGGGUCGCCCGUUUGUGUCAUCCCGCGUGAACUAUAUUAUAAGCACCGUGAGCAAUGGCCGAAACUGAAACCGUCCAGACUCAAUUUAUCUUGCUACACAGGACGCCUUCCAGUACUUGGGGAGCUUGCGCUCCAGGUUUGACAGUGGAGUGGUGGUGAAAGGGGUGACAGUGGAGUGUGCGCUGACAGUCUUGGACUGUGCGGGACCAAGCCUCUGCGGUCGCGAUUUAAUCCAGUGGCUGAACAGCGCAGGUGCUCCAGUGGUUAGUUUUGUAGAGACCUCGGCGGUAACAAAUGACUCGAGCGAAUCCAGCGUGAACAGCAUAUUCAAUGACUACAACGACGUGUUCUCCGAGGAACUGGGGCUAAUCAAGGGUCCUCCAGCCAGCCUGCACAUGAAGGAAGGCGCCGUACCCAAGUUCUGCAAGGCCAGACCCAUUCCAUACGCGCUACGCGAGCGAGUGUCACUCGAGCUAGACCGUUUAGUUUCUGUGGGCGUGCUGUCGCCGGUGGCACACUCUGAAUGGGCAACGCCCAUAGUCGUAGUGCUUAAGAAAGACGGCGCAGUAAGAAUCUGCGGGGAUUUCAAGGCCACAGUAAAUCCAGCGUGUGCAACUGAGCAAUACCCAUUGCCAAUCAUUGAGGAUAUGUUUGCCCGAUUACACGAUGGGGACUAUUUCAGCACUCUGGAUUUACGGGAUGCAUACAAUCAAGUGGCGCUAGACGAUAACGCGAAGAAAGUUUGCGUCAUUAAUACGCCAAAAGGGCUAUUUUGCUACAAUCGACUUCCUUUCGGUAUAGCCUCAGCGCCCGCAAUAUUCCAAAGGAAAAUGGAUGAGGUAUUGGCUGGCCUUCCAGGAGCACAGGCUUAUCUUGACGAUGUGCUCAUUUCUGAAAAAGCGAGUGACGGCGGCGAAAGGCUGAAAAACGUCUUACAGCGCUUCCGAGAGCGCGGUGUAAAGCUAAGGUUCGAUAAAUGCAACUUGCGCAGCCCAGCAGUAACUUAUCUAGGCCAUCGGAUCGAUCGUGAUGGGCUUCAUCCGACAGAAAAAAACCUUGACGCUAUCAUGAAGGCACCGAGCCCCUGUAAUGUCAGUGAGCUACGUUCAUUCUUGGGCAUGAUUACUUUUUACGCGCGGUUUCUGCCGAACAUGUCAACCACACUUGGCCCAUUGUAUCAACUGCUUGAAAAGAACGCACGCUGGCAAUGGAAACAGCCGCAAGAGCACGCGUUUGAUCUUGCCAAGCAAAGCCUUAAAACAGCCAAGGUUCUAGUUUAUUUAUUUAUUUAUUUAUUUAUAGAUACUGCGAUCUGAAAUCAGAUCAUAGCAGGGUGGGUAUACAUAGAUAUGUACAAGCAUGUAAACACAUACAAAUCCAUCACAUAUGCAGGCAUUUUAGGACAUUAAUGAAGAAUACAUACAAGAAAAAAAAAAAACAUACAACAGAUAACGCACACGAAUUCAUAACAUUUGCAAGCAUUUUUCAAACAUUGGUAAGGAAUUCUGGGUAACAAUAUGAGAAUUAAGAUCAUUCCAGUCUUUUAUUGUCCUAGGAAAAAAAGAAUAUUUGAAACAGUUAUUCCGUGCGUUGAUGGGGGUUAUCGAUAAAGCAUGCCUUCGUCUCGUGUUAUAACCAGAUGAGUAAGUAAAGAACUUGGAAGUGUUAACCUUAUAAUGGCCGUUUACAAGUUGGAAGAGGAACUUUAAUCGACAGAUACGGUUGCGCACAGUCACCGGGGGUAAUCCACUGCGCCUUACGAGCUCACCAACUGACGCGCGGCCGUAUGAAUUAAAAACAAACCUAACUACCUUAUGCUGUACACGUUCCAGUUUUUUAAUAUUGGUUAAAGUGAAUGGGUCCCAAAUAAUUACGGCAUAUUCCAACAACGGACGAAUGUAGGAAUUGUACGCCAGUAGACGAACACCAGACGUAGAUGAUUUCAGUGAGCGCCUCAAGAAAAACAGUUUACGCAAAGAAUUCGCAACAACAUUAUCUAUGUGCUUCGUCCAGGAAAGCUCAUUGGUUAUCCAUAGGCCCAAAUAUUUGUACUCUCUUACCUCUGAUAGAGAUACGUUGUCAACAUUAUAUGCAAAUUGAAGAGGUUCUUUCUUAUGUGUGAUUCUCAUUUCAGUUCAGAUCAGAUCGUUUCAGAUCAGUUCAUUUCACAAAAGUUCAUUCUCAUAAAAAGUUCAUUUCGACCCUUCGAAGGAACUUAAACUGGAGUGUGACGCGUCUCCGUACGGUGUGGGAGCUGUCUUGUUUCACACGACCGGUAACGUUCACAGGCCCAUUAGGUUCCGCUCGCGAACAUUAACGCAGGCGGAGCGCAACUAUUCGCAGCUCGAGCGAGAGGCACUGGCACUGGUAUUCGGCGUCACGAAAUUCCGUGACUACCUUCUAGGUCGGGAAUUUACCUUAGUGACUGACCACCAGCCAUUGUUGGGCCUGCUGAAAUCGGACAAGCAGACGCCUACAAUGGCCGCCGCACGGAUACAACGUUGGGCACUCCACCUGUGGGCCUACCGCUACCGGCUACAGUAUGCACCAGGACGACAGAUGCUGAACGCUGACGCCCUCAGCCGACUUCCGCAAAGAUCUCCGGAAUCUGACGAUGACGGUGAGCCGCCCGAAUAUGUGCUGUCGCUAAACCAGCUGAACAAUGGCACCAUAACAACGCGUGAGCUGAAAGCAUUAACGGCUUUUGACCCUGUCCUGGUCGAGGUCAAACGGUACAUAUUACAUGAGUGGCUCAGAAACGCAAACGGAAUGGCCCGGGCCGUACUGCCGUUUUUUGACCGCAAGCUCGAAUUAUCCGUAGCACAUGAACUGGUGUACUGGGGUAAUAGGGUCAUAAUACCGACCGAAGCUAGGGAGCGAGUGCUGCAUCUUCUACAUGAAACGCACCAGGGUUCAACGGCAAUGAAAUCUGUCGCUCGUUCUUUGUUCUGGUGGCCAGGCCUCGACAAAAAUAUUGAAGACGUGUCUGCACAAUGCCAGUUCUGUGUGCAAAAUCUGCCGAUGCCAACUGCAGCUCCCGUCGUUAACUGGCCUGAGACAGGCGAAAAGUGGUCCCGUAUUCACAUUGACUACGCGGGUCCGAUCUGUGGAAAAAUGAUACUCGUACUAGUCGAUGCACACACCAAAUGGCUCGAAGCUAUACCUUUGUCACAUGCCUCAACGCAGACUACCAUUGACUGUCUGCGUGGCAUUUUCAGCAGGUGUGGAAUACCGCGCACAAUCGUUUCUGACAACGGGACCCCAUUUGCCAGUCAAGACUUCGCGUUGUUCGUGGCAAACAACAACAUUGUGCACCUUCGAUGCGCUCCAUACCAUCCCCAGUCUAAUGGUGCGGCGGAAAGGGCAGUACGAACGAUAAAAGAUGGUCUUCGAAAAAUGGCGAAAGGAAAACUUGAAGAGAACCUAGUACGGUUGCUUUUUAACUACCGGAGGACUCCGCAAAAAUCGGCACUUGCAGGACCAAAAGAGGACCAAGAUGACUGGCUGCCGCUACCUGCAAGUGAAGUGUAUGCCCGCAAUUACGGUGUGGGGAGCAAGUGGACGCCCGGUCAUGUGAAGGCGACGUCGGGAGCGAGAAUGGUGACCGUGGAAACAUCGGACGGAGUCAACCAGCGGCACGUGGACCAGGUCCGCCCGCGACAGGAAGUACCAGGGGACAAACCGACAGUAACUACAACCACCACACAUCGCAGUGAGCCGGACCAAGCAACACAACUACAGCAUCCAGAAACGGUGAAUCUGGAUGAAGGCAUAACUGCUCGGCGCAUUCUAAAUGGCACCCGUUCUCCAGACUUUGCGGCACCAGAUAUUCCAGUGGCCCCGUUGCAUACAGGUGUCGCCGAACAAACGCUGAGACGCUCAACGAGAGAACGCAAGCCAGUGCAACGCUUUCAUUUCUGAGGAGGAAGGAAUGUUGCAACUUAACGCAUUUUCGAAGUGCGCGCACCUUUUAUCGCCUUAUCUGGCGAUCCUUCGAGUUCGGAUUAUCACUACUAACACGUGCUCCUUUCUAUCUUCCUGCCACUCGGCUACUUAUAAAUACGCUCUACACCUUUGAAUAAACGUUCAUUUUGUUCUACUGACUA